rnacentral:rRNA from 1 species
UACGUAGGGUGCGAGCGUUGUCCGGAAUUAUUGGGCGUAAAGAGCUCGUAGGCGGCUUGUCGCGUCGACUGUGAAAACCCGCGGCUCAACCGCGGGCUGCAGCCCGAUACGGGCAGGCUAGAGUUCGGUAGGGGAGACUGGAAUUCCUGGUGUAGCGGUGAAAUGCGCAGAUAUCAGGAGGAACACCGAUGGCGAAGGCAGGUCUCUGGGCCGAUACUGACGCUGAGGAGCGAAAGCGUGGGGAGCGAACAGG